AGUGAAGCGGCAACAGCUCAAAUUUGAAAUCUGGCCCUCGCGGUCCGAGUUGUAAUUUGUAGAGGAUGCUUUUGGUGAGGUGCCUUCCGAGUUCCCUGGAACGGGACGCCAUAGAGGGUGAGAGCCCCGUCUGGUCGGACACCGAGCCUCUGUAAAGCUCCUUCGACGAGUCGAGUAGUUUGGGAAUGCUGCUCUAAAUGGGAGGUAUAUGUCUUCUAAAGCUAAAUAUUGGCCAGAGACCGAUAGCGCACAAGUAGAGUGAUCGAAAGAUGAAAAGCACUUUGAAAAGAGGGUUAAAUAGUACGUGAAAUUGUUGAAAGGGAAGCGCUUGUGACCAGACUUGGGCUUGGUCAAUCAUCCAGGGUUCUCCCUGGUGCACUUGGCCGGCCCAGGCCAGCAUCAGUUCGUCGCGGGGGAUAAAGACUUUGGGAAUGUGGCUCCCCCGGGAGUGUUAUAGCCCUCUGUGCAAUACCCUGCCUCGGACUGAGGUUCGCGCAUCUGCAAGGAUGCUGGCGUAAUGGUCAUCAGCGACCCGUCUUGAAACACGGACCAAGGAGUCGUCUUCGUAUGCGAGUGUUCGGGUGUCAAACCCCUACGCGUAAUGAAAGUGAACGCAGGUGAGAGCUUCGGCGCAUCAUCGACCGAUCCUGAUGUUCUCGGAUGGAUUUGAGUAAGAGCAUACGGGGCCGGACCCGAAAGAAGGUGAACUAUGCCUGUAUAGGGUGAAGCCAGAGGAAACUCUGGUGGAGGCUCGCAGCGGUUCUGACGUGCAAAUCGAUCGUCAAAUAUGGGCAUGGGGGCGAAAGACUA
rnacentral:rRNA from 1 species